rnacentral:tRNA from 1 species
GCCGGGAUAGCUCAGCUGGGAGAGCAGCAGACUGAAGUUCUCGAUUUCUGAAGGUCGCGUGUUCAAGCCACGCUCCUGGCA